UACGAAGGGGGCUAGCGUUGCUCGGAAUCACUGGGCGUAAAGGGUGCGUAGGCGGGUUAUUAAGUCAGAGGUGAAAUCCUGGAGCUCAACUCCAGAACUGCCUUUGAUACUGAUAGUCUUGAGUACGGGAGAGGUGAGUGGAACUGCGAGUGUAGAGGUGAAAUUCGUAGAUAUUCGCAAGAACACCAGUGGCGAAGGCGGCUCACUGGCCCGUUACUGACGCUGAGGCACGAAAGCGUGGGGAGCAAACAGGG
rnacentral:rRNA from 1 species